rnacentral:rRNA from 1 species
UACGUAGGCAGCAAGCGUUGUUCGGAAUUACUGGGCGUAAAGGGCUCGUAGGCGGCCAACUAAGUCAGACGUGAAAUCCCUCGGCUUAACCGGGGAACUGCGUCUGAUACUGGUUGGCUUGAAUCCGGGAGAGGGAUGUGGAAUUCCAGGUGUAGCGGUGAAAUGCGUAGAUAUCUGGAGGAACACCGGUGGCGAAGGCGGCAUCCUGGACCGGUAUUGACGCUGAGGCGCGAAAGCUAGGGGAGCAAACGGG